rnacentral:rRNA from 1 species
GUAGGGAAUAUUGGGCAAUGGAAGCAAUUCUGACCCAGCCAUGCCGCGUGAAGGAAUACAGCCCUAUGGGUUUUAAACUUCUUUUAUUAUAGAGUAAACGGAGGUACGUGUACCUCCCUGCAAGUAUAUGAUGAAUAAGGAUCGGCUAACUCCGUGCCAGCAGCCGCGGUAAUACGGAGGAUCCAAGCGUUAUCCGGAUUUAUUGGGUUUAAAGGGUGCGCAGGCGGAUCAAUAAGUCAGGGGUGAAAAAUUUCAGCUUAACUGGAAUCGUGCCUUUGAUACUGUUGGACUAGAGUAUAAUUGACGUGACUGGAAUGUGAUGUGUAGCGGUGAAAUGCUUAGAUAUGUCACAGAACGCCAAUCGUGAAGACAGGUCACGAAAUUAUUACUGACGCUCAUGCACGAAAGCGUGGGGAUCAAACAGGAUUAGAAACCCGUGUAGUCC